rnacentral:tRNA from 1 species
GCGCCUGUAGCUCAGUGGAUAGAGCACCGGUCUCCGGAACCGGGUGCGGAGGUCCGAUUCCUCUCAGGCGCACCA